rnacentral:rRNA from 1 species
AGUGAACGCUGGCGGUAGGCCUAACACAUGCAAGUCGAACGGCAGCACAGUAAGAGCUUGCUCUUACGGGUGGCGAGUGGCGGACGGGUGAGGAAUACAUCGGAAUCUACUUUUUCGUGGGGGAUAACGUAGGGAAACUUACGCUAAUACCGCAUACGACCUACGGGUGAAAGCAGGGGAUCUUCGGACCUUGCGCGAUUGAAUGAGCCGAUGUCGGAUUAGCUAGUUGGCGGGGUAAAGGCCCACCAAGGCGACGAUCCGUAGCUGGUCUGAGAGGAUGAUCAGCCACACUGGAACUGGGACACGGUCCAGACUCCUACGGGAGGCAGCAGUGGGGAAUAUUGGACAAUGGGCGCAAGCCUGAUCCAGCCAUACCGCGUGGGUGAAGAAGGCCUUCGGGUUGUAAAGCCCUUUUGUUGGGAAAGAAAAGCAGCAGGUUAAUACCCCGCUGUUCUGACGGUACCCAAAGAAUAAGCGCCGGCUAACUUCGUGC